rnacentral:rRNA from 1 species
CUCGAAUUCAAAAGAGUUAAUUUUAUUGUGAAAUAAAUAUUUAUAAUUUUUAAUUAGAAAUGAAACGUUAGUCGUUUUUGAAUAUAUCUAGUUUUUAAAGAAAUAAAUUUAAUUUAGUUAUUAGUAAAUUAAAAUUUUUAGGGAUAAGCUUAUAAUUAAAUUAUUAUAAUAAAAUAAUAUUUUAAAAAUUAUAGAAUUAAAAAUUUUCAUUGAUAAAAAAUUGUUAUAAUUAAUUUAUUUAAUUUUUUUAUUUAAAUAUAAAUUUUAAUUUUAAAAAUUUAGGAAUAAUGAUUAAAUUAGUAAGGUUAAAUUAAGGAAUUCGGCAAAUUUAUUUUUCACCUGUUUAUUAAAAACAUGUCCUUUUGAUUAUAAUUUAAGGUCUAAUCUGCCCACUGAUUGAAUGGCCGCGGUAUUUUGACCGUGCAAAGGUAGCAUAAUAAUUAGUUUCUUAAUUAGAAGCUGGAAUGAAGGAUUGAAUGAGAAAAUAACUGUCUCUAGAAUUUUAUAUUUAAGUAAAAAAGCUUAAAUUUUAUUAAAAGACGAGAAGACCCUAUAGAGUUUUUUUGUUGGGGUGAUAGAAAAAUUUAAUUAACUUUUUUUAUAAGUGAUAAUUUGAUCCAUGAUUAAAAGAUAAAAUUACCU